UUUGUACUCCCUCCGUCCCAAAAUUCUUGUCUUAAAUUUGUCUAAAUACAGAUGUAUCUAGUUACAUUUUAGUGCUAGAUACAUCCAUAUCUAAACAAAUGUAAGACAAGAAUUUUGGGACGGAGGGAAUACUAC
rnacentral:pre_miRNA from 1 species